CAGUGUCCACUCUCUUUCUCUCUCUCUCUCUCUCUCUCUAACUGAAUCGAUCGGCCAUGGACGACCUCCCCCUCCAGAAGAUCGCCAUCUCCGGCCCCACUCUCUCCUCCCUCCUCCAGCGCGUCUCCUCCUCCCCGGCCGACGCCGACGGCCUCCUCUUCGGCCACAUCUCCCCCGUCGCCCCCUCCACCCUCUCCGACGACCCCUCCUCCGCCGCCACCGCCGCCUCCACUUCCAACUCCGCCGCCCUCGUCGCCACCGUCACCUCCUUCCUCUGCCCCGGCUGCCCGCUCUCCUUCUUCGACUCCCUCGGCCGCCUCCUCUUCCCCUCCCUCCUCCACCACUCCCAGCACCGCCUCAUCGGCUGGUUCUCCUCCCGCCGCCGGUCCCGCCUCCAGCCCUCCAUGCGCGACUUCAACGUCGCCGCCUCCCUCUCCUCCGACCCCUCCCUCUCCUUCCCGAUCGACGCCUCCGACGGCUUCUCGCCUCGCGUCUUCGUUCUCUUCUCCACUCCGCCCCUCGACUCCGCGAUCCACACCCACGAGUACCGCGCCUUCCAGUUCCGCACCGCCGCGGACACCUUCGAGCCGAGGUCGAUCGACGUCGUCAACAUCGGGCCCGGGUUCCGAGGGCACUACGGGAAUUUCAGCCCGAACUCGUCGUUCCCGUGGUUGGCCUGCGAUUCGAGGGGAUCGUCGAUGAUGCAGGAGGACGGUAAGGAAGAGCGCUUGAGUGAGAUACGGCAGGUUGCGAAGAACCAGAACGAGAUUGAUUUGAUUGAGCACUUGAGUGAGAUGAGGCAGGCCGCGAAGUACCAGAAUGACAUUGAUUUGGUCGCCGAGGGUUUUCCGAUCGCGAAAUUGGGCAGACUAAUGGGGCCGGAAGCCAGUAGCUACACUGCUGGGUUGGAGGAGAUGUAUGAGAAGAUGUUGACGAAGAUCGACAGCUUGGCCAGGCUCGUUGAGAACAGCUCUGCUCAGGUCCUUCAGAUGGCUUCUCAUGUUGGUCAAUCUGAAUCAGUUUUCUGUUAUGUGCUAACUUGGUAUGAGCUUGUGUUGCAUUCGUGGUUAGGAGCAACAUAAUUCAAAGUUGAGGGCGGAAAUUGCUGGGAUCAAGAGGGUUGUCAAUUGCUAGCGUAGAGAGAAGUGCUUGAUGUUGCUAAUGUGUCAAAGGUGGCAGAGAAAGGUUUUGAAGACCCCCUUGCGACCAUUUAGUGGCAGAAGAGUGUGAUGCAUUAAUAAAUUUACAGGGGAUUUGAAGCUAGGUGGAUGAUCGAUGGGGAGGUGAUGCGAUUGAUACUAUAUUCAAUUAAUCGUUUUUGGGAGAGGAUUCAGCAACCUCCAUAUCGGAAAUGCGAUGAUGACUUCGUAUUUUUUCCGCAUUUCGCUUCGGUAGACGUUUGGGUCUAUUGUAUCUUCUGGGAAUUGAUUAACUAUGACCCUCCCCGAUUAUGAUAAAGUGGUUGAAGAUGAUUU